GUCUAUAGAGCAACGGCUGCCCACACCCCUCUCCUCGUCCAGCAGCAGGCACAUCUCCUUCAGCUCCAAGUUCUCUCUCACCACCUCGUCUUGCCUGGCCUCCAGCUCCUUCAUUUUCUGCAGGUACAAGGUGGUCACUCAGGAUCAAGGGUGACUUGCUUCUCGUUCUUGUGUUAUAAGGUGACCAAUGAGACAUGAGCAGACUCUUCCACAGAUGAUAAAAUGGGCCAAUGGCAAUUUGUCAUAAGAUCAUCCAAGUGGGAUGUCAUGUCUGAUAAAUUUGUUUUUGGAUUUGUCAUUUGCUGCAAAGGAUCCAUUCCUUGAAGCAAAUACCAGUGCUGUCCCAUGUGCCCAAGGUGAUGUGGCAUCCAGAUGGUGGAUGGAUCUCCAACCAAGUUGGAUUGUCUCAGCCAGUCACGAUCCCGCAGUGCUGGCCCUCCUGUUUUCAAUCCUGAUGUGGCUUGUUCGUUGUUGUACUUCACAGUUGCUGUCACUCUAGUCAUAAUCAGAUUGCUCAUCAACAGCAUGCAGAUUAGCGCUCAUUUUGAAACUGCAACUUCACUUUUUAUCUCAUUUUCUUCCCUGUGCAGAAUGUCUUUGAAACAUCUCACUGCACUUCAACAGGUAGGUAGUUGAGUCAGGUUCAUUUUAAAACUUACUCAGUACCACUGUUACAUUUUGAAACUCCAAAAGUAAUUGAAAGAUAAAUACAGGACCGCGGAUAAAUAUGUACUCUUCAUUUUUUUUUACUUUUAGUGAGACGUACAUUAUGACGUGGUGGCAUGAUGACAUAUGCCAUUCAGGUACUUUUCCUCAUAACCCUUAAUGAAUUAUGUAAGCAAACAAAAAGUCCUUAAUCAAAAAAUGUAUUUACAACGUUACUCAAAUAUUACUGAAAUAUUAAACGCACAACAUUAACCAUAAAUAGUGCUAGCGGGUAGGCCUGAGGAAAAGACUAUUAAGCAGUCUGUGGCAAGGAAAUUGCUGACUAAAUAACUUAUGUGAUUCCUUUAGAAGUCAGGAACGAGGCAUACAACUGAUGCUUUACAAUCAUUUUAUUAUGAGUUGAUAGAACAAAGGGAAGUUGAAAUAAAUAAGGACAGAGAUCUACUACUUGAAGAAGAGAGAAACUAAUGAUGACACUUUGUAUAAAAUGGCUACCUUUAUACUUCUGAAAUUAGUAACAAUUCAAUUCAAAUCUAGAUUAAAAAUGAACUAAAUAGAAAAUAUUUACUCAAUACCGCAAUAAAAAAUAACCAAUGAGAAACUACUUAUUCACACAAAUCAGAACAAAGAAUCUUCCAGAAUUAUAAUUUGUAUAACCUCUAAAGGCAUAUUAAACUGUUAUGUACAUACUAUAGCCACUAGAAACCAUAGUAAACAGUUACAAGUAAUUAUGUAAAAUAAAUAAAUGCAGAUAAUACUGGAUAAUAACAAUUUUGCUUCCUGAAUACUUUUGGGUGUAUCUUACUGAUUUUGGGCUACUGAUCAAUAUUUGUUAUUUCAAUUCAUAAUUCAAGUCAAUUAAAAUAUUGCCCACAAUGUAAGCUGAAAGGUUUUCUAUCGUGUCCAGGCAUUCCUGGGCAGGCUUAGGCAGGGUGGAUGCUGCAUGACAGGACAGGUUUUAGAAAAACAGGACAUGGAGGCAGAACAAGAUGACAAGGUGUACAAGCCAAGAAUAGAGAAAGACACUGAUAUUGAUACAGAUUUUGAACCUUUUAUGCUGAGUGAGCCUCAUCUGAUAAUUCAAUCUGAGUGAAAUAACCUGGUUAGAGACUUGGGUUUGUCAAAGUCAAAGACAGAAUUAUUGGGUUCAAGACUGCAAGGGUGGAAUCUGGUGUCAUCAGGCAUAACAAUUUCUGUGAAGGAUUUCAGUAUUUGAGACAGAUGUUUUCCAAAAUUACUGCAGCCAAGACUAAGGAAGGCAUUUUUGUAGGUCCACAAGCCAAAUAAGUCAUCAAUGACAGGCAAUUCAAAGAACUUAUAGUGGGACUGGAGAAAAUCACGUGGAAGGCAUUCAAGGAUGUUGUGAAAAUAUUCUUGGCAAAUACAGAGCUCCAAACUACAUGCAGCUGGUUGACAACAUGUUUCAAGCAUACAAAACCAUGAAGUGCAAUAUGUCAUUAAAGAUUCAUUUUCUGAAUUCCCAUUUAGGCUUCCUCCCUGCAAAUCUUCACGCUGUCAGUGACGAGCAUGGUGAAAGGUUUCACCAGGACAUUGUGGUCAUAUAGAAACAGUAUCAGGGCAACUGGAAUCCAUCAAUGCUGGCUGAUUAUUGUUGGACAAUUAAGUGAGAAGCCUCAGACACUGAGCACAAAUGAAAAUCAUCAACAAAACAUUUUCAGCUUAGUUGAACUAUUGCAAAUUAAACAUAUUAUGCAAUUAAACAUAUUAUAUUCAAUAAAAGUUAUAUUCUUGUUGCU